rnacentral:rRNA from 1 species
GGCACCUACGGGACGCAGCAGUGAGGAAUAUUGGUCAAUGGCCGGAAGGCUGAACCAGCCAAGCCGCGUGAAGGACGAAGGUGCCAAGCAUUGUAAACUUCUUUUGUCAAGGGACAAAAUCAGGCUCGAGAGCCUGACCGAGGGUACUUGAAGAAAAAGCAUCGGCUAACUACGUGCCAGCAGCCACGGUAAUACGUAGGUGGCAAGCGUUGUCCGGAUUUACUGGGUGUAAAGGGCGUGCAGCCGGGAAGACAAGUCAGAUGUGAAAUCCCGCGGCUCAACCGCGGAACUGCAUUUGAAACUGU